rnacentral:rRNA from 1 species
AUACGAAGGGGGCAAGCGUUGUUCGGAAUAACUGGGCGUAAAGCGCACGUAGGCGGAAUGUUAAGUUAGAGGUGAAAUCCCAGGGCUCAACCCUGGAACGGCCUUUAAUACUGGCAAUCUAGAGACCGAGAGAGGUGAGUGGAAUUCCGAGUGUAGAGGUGAAAUUCGUAGAUAUUCGGAGGAACACCAGUGGCGAAGGCGGCUCACUGGCUCGGUACUGACGCUGAGGUGCGAAAGCGUGGGGAGCAAACAGGAUUAGAUACCCGAGUAGUCC